CCGAGGAUCUGGAAGCCGGCACACAUCCUCCCUUAAAUCCGAGCCCAGCUUUGUUUACACGGCUCGUCUCACGGCAAGAUGGCGGCCCGCGGGGUGCGGGGCAGCCUCGGGCGAGCGGGCCGUGGGCAGGGGGCUGCAUCCCGGGGCGGCUCCCCUCUCACACAGCGGGACUGGAGGUCUGUUAUCUUGAUGAAACAGGGCUGCGUGGAGAGCAUAAGGACGUUGGGGUGGGGCUCGUUAGCCGCAGUCACUUCGUGCGGGAAGGCAGCUUCUAAGAGCUGUGUUGGGGAGCCCCCCAGUUUUUCCUCUUCGGUUGCUAUGACACCCACCUACUCCAUCGAUGUAGGUAGACCUACCAAGUAUUCCUUUCGAAGGCUGAAGUGAAGACCCUGGUGUGAAGUCUCCACCUAUCUGCAGUUACUGGAAGCACAAAUCCUGAUGGAUGAGCCAUUUUAACCCACAUCACCAAACGAUGGGAAAAAUUCUUUAAGAAUGGACAAGUGCCUGUGUUAGGUCACAGUUUCUUAAUCCUUCUGGCAAUUACAACGCCCCAGGAGGCCUAACAGUUUGCAGUGCCUAGGUUGGGACCCUAGACUUGUAAGAAGCACCUUUCCUGCUGACACCACCCAUCAGUGUGUAAGUUAAUUUUCCCGAAGGGUGACAAACACACACAAUGUGCACAUGUCUCUAACAAGCCCACAUCUGAGUGUAGCCUCAACAGAUCUGAAAGCAGAGUCUUGAAAAUAUCUGUACACCCAUGCUCACAACAGUCACAGUAGCUGAAAACACCAUGCAUCCAUCAGUGUAGAUACAAAUGAACGGAAUGUGGUGUAGACACAAAGAUCAGCACUCAACUUCACAAAGCGAAUUGCAAUGCGUACUAAAACAGGCAAAGCAUCAUGUUAAGGAAAGUAAGCAGUGGUAAGGAGACAGUUAGAGCAAGCUUCCAUUUCUAAGAGAAACCUAGUCCGAUUCAGAGACGGAAAGAGCAAGAGCUGGGGAUAGGUGGGGCUGAUUAAUUCAUAAAGUGUCGGCUUUGCAUAAUAGCUUAAGCUCAUUCUCUAUUCCUAAACCCCAACACUUAGAAUGGUGUGUUAAUUUGUUUGUUUGUUUGUUUGGUCGCUUGCUUGCUUAAGACAGACUCUUACUAUGUAGCCCUGACUGGCCUACCUAGUAGAUACAACUGUGUAUACCAGGUUGGCUUCAAAAUCACAGAAAUCCACCUGCCUCUACUCCUAAAUGAUGGGAUUAAAGGCAUGCACCACCACACCCACUCAGGAUGGUGCAUUAUUUAAAAGCAUAUAUGGGGCUGGAGAGCUGGCUCAGCAGUUAAGAUUUCUAGUUGUGCUUGCAAAAGACAUGGCUUGUUUCCCAGCAUCCUCUGGGCAGCUUAGAACCAUCUGGAUCUCCAAUUUCAAGGUAUCUGACGCCCUAUUCUGGCCUCUGUAGAAAACAGGCAUGCACAUGGUACACAAACAAGCAUAACCCCCCCCCCCACUCAUACAUGUAAAGUAAGAAUAAAGCUUUUUAAAAAGGCAGACAUGGGGUCUAGCAAACAAAGAAGUAGAUGCUCAUAGUCAGCUAUUGGAUGGAUCACAGGGCCCCCAAUGGAAGAGCUAGAGAAAGUACCCAAG
rnacentral:lncRNA from 1 species